CGGGAUAAUAUAUUUGAGAGGCAUCUCUUAAAUAUCAAAGGUGAGCCAGUACAGGAUGGACCCGCGUCUGAUUAGUUAGUUGGUAAGGUAACGGCUUACCAAGGCGACGAUCAGUAGCCGACCUGAGCGGGUGAUCGGCCACAUUGGAACUGAGACACGGUCCAAACUCCUACGGGAGGCAGCAGUGGGGAAUAUUGCACAAU
rnacentral:rRNA from 1 species